UUCGGGGGUACUCGAGUGGCGAACGGGUGAGUAACACGUGGGUAAUCUGCCCUGCACUUCGGGAUAAGCCUGGGAAACUGGGUCUAAUACCGGAUAGAACCUAGAGGCGCAUGCCUUGUGGUGGAAAGCUUUUGCGGUGUGGGAUGGGCCCGCGGCCUAUCAGCUUGUUGGUGGGGUGACGGCCUACCAAGGCGACGACGGGUAGCCGGCCUGAGAGGGUGUCCGGCCACACUGGGACUGAGAUACGGCCCAGACUCCUACGGGAGGCAGCAGUGGGGAAUAUUGCACAAUGGGCGCAAGCCUGAUGCAGCGACGCCGCGUGGGGGAUGACGGCCUUCGGGUUGUAAACCUCUUUCACCAUCGACGAAGGUCCGGGUUUUCUCGGAUUGACGGUAGGUGGAGAAGAAGCACCGGCCAACUACGUGCCAGCAGCCGCGGUAAUACGUAGGGUGCGAGCGUUGUCCGGAAUUACUGGGCGUAAAGAGCUCGUAGGUGGUUUGUCGCGUUGUUCGUGAAAUCUCACGGCUUAACUGUGAGCGUGCGGGCGAUACGGGCAGACUGGAGUACUGCA
rnacentral:rRNA from 1 species